UACGGGGGGGGCAAGCGUUGUUCGGAAUUACUGGGCGUAAAGGGCUCGUAGGCGGCCAACUAAGUCGGAUGUGAAAUCCCCAGGCUCAACUUGGGAACUGCAUCCGAUACUGGAUGGCUUGAAUUCGGGAGAGGGAUGCAGAAUUCCAGGUGUAGCGGUGAAAUGCGUAGAGAUGUGGAGGAAUACCGAUGGCGAAGGCAGCCCCCUGGGAUAACACUGACGCUCAUGCACGAAAGCGUGGGGAGCAAACAGG
rnacentral:rRNA from 1 species